GUCCACGCUGUAAACGAUGACGACUAGGUGUGGGGGGGUUCAGUCCCUUCCGUGCCGCAGCUAACGCAUUAAGUCGUCCGCCUGGGGAGUACGGCCGCAAGGUUGAAACUCAAAGGAAUUGACGGGGGCCCGCACAAGCGGUGGAGCAUGUGGUUCAAUUCGAUGCUGAGCGAAGAACCUUACCUGGGCUUGACAUGCAGGAAGUAGGAACCGGAAACGGGGACGACCUGUUAAAUCAGGAGCUUGCACAGGUGGUGCAUGGCUGUCGU
rnacentral:rRNA from 1 species